rnacentral:rRNA from 1 species
AGUUGUUUGGGAUUGCAGCUCAAAAUGGGAGGUAAAUUUCUCCUAAGGCUAAAUAAAGGCGGGAGACCGAUAGCGAACAAGUACCGUGAGGGAAAGAUGAAAAGAACUUUGAAAAGAGAGUUAAACAGUACGUGAAAUUGUUGAAAGGGAAACGAUUAAAGUCAGUCGUACUGACGGGGAAUCAACUUCUCGAGCGUGUUUUAGUGGGUUCAAAGUGCCUUUGUUCUCGUGAUAUCCGCGUUCUUUAGGUGCACUUUCUCGUAUUGUAGGUUAGCAUCGGUUUUGAUCGUCAUAAAAUGACUGGAGGAAUGUGGCUUUGACUUCGGUUGAAGUGUUAUAGACUCUGGUAGAUGUAAUGGUUGAGACCGAGGAUUGCAACGGAUGCCCUUAAGGGCUAUCCGCCUGGCUUCUGAUUGUCGUUUUGACUUCGAAAGCUUGCUUACGAGGUUAAAGUGUGCGGUCAUUAGGUUAGAACGGAUUACA